UGACUUAUGAGUUAUUAAAAAUUUAUUUUUAUUUCUAUUAUUUUUGCAACAAUUUUUCCCUUAAGAACCUAAGACAAAGGACCUCCAUCCUAUAUCCUUAGGAAUUCUCUGGGGUCUGCUAGAGUUACAAAAAUGUACAUAUUAUGAAACAAUUUGGUUUCUAUAAAGUACAGAGCUCAAAGUUUUUUCUUUGAAAAUGGAGUCAUCCCAAAGAUAAGUCUGUAAGAUAUUUCUUUAGCUUUUGUUGCAAUGUGUUUGUUUUGAAGGUUAGUAAAAGUGUCUUUAAAAUCUGUUAUAUUUAAAUCUUUUCCCCAUUUAAUCCUAAUAGCUAAAUUUUCUUGUAACUGUUUUUUUAAUGUUGUGUAUAUUUCUUUAUAUUUAUUGUGUAUUGAAGGUUCAUUGCCUGAAAGAGUUCUUGAGAUGGAUCUAUAAAAAGGAUAUAACAAGGCAACGCUAGAGUUUUUUUCAUGACUGUACAUGAUAAAAUCUCGAAUGAAAUGUGUCAUUCCAUCAAUACUCCUGUCGGGGUGGGUGCAGUAUUGGUCUUGUCCUACGAGUUGGGGAGUGAAGGGUUUAAGUCGUUUAAAAAUCAUUUUUGUCAGUUGUUUAUAGUCUGUAUUGAGUAGUGAGAUGGGCCUGUAGUCACUUGGAGAACUGUUAUCUGUUGUUUUUUUGGCUAAUAGUGUAAUAUAUGCUUCGUUGAAAUUUUUUGGAAGUUGUCCUGUUUUAACAGCGUCACUAUACAGUCGCAGUAAUAGAGGACUUAUUAAGGGAAAAAAUGUCUUAUAGAAUCAAAUGUCAGACCGUCCGGUCCGGGAGAUUUGUUGUUUUGUGUCGAGUCUAGUGCAGUUUGGAGUUCGUCUAGAGUAAAUGGGGUCUCCAAAAGUUCUUCAUCGGUCUGCUUCAACUGUUUACAAUAUUUUAGAAAACAUUCUUGAGCCUCCUUGUUUAUAGGUUCCAACUGGUAGAUAUUUUUAAAAUGACUUAUGAAAACAUCUUUAAUUUUGUCUUCGUCUUCAACUUUUGAGCCAUGUAUAUCAAGAACACUUGUUAUGCAUUUACUAGACUGAACAUUUUGUUCGAUCGACAAGAAAAGUUUGUUUGGGCCUUCUUGACUUAAAUAGUUCCUGCAUCUAACUUCAGCUCCUUUGUAGAUGUAGUUAUUUAAUUCUUCCAACUUUAAUGAGGCUUGAGUUCUAUCUAUUUCGUCCUCAGCGUGUAAUAGU